GACGAACGCUGGCGGCGUGCCUAAUACAUGCAAGUAGAACGCACAGUUUAUACCGUAGCUUGCUACACCAUAAACUGUGAGUUGCGAACGGGUGAGUAACGCGUAGGUAACCUGCCUGGUAGCGGGGGAUAACUAUUGGAAACGAUAGCUAAUACCGCAUAAUAUUGAUUAUUGCAUGAUAAUUGAUUGAAAGAUGCUAUUGCAUCACUACCAGAUGGACCUGCGUUGUAUUAGCUAGUAGGUGAGGUAACGGCUCACCUAGGCGACGAUACAUAGCCGACCUGAGAGGGUGAUCGGCCACACUGGGACUGAGACACGGCCCAGACUCCUACGGGAGGCAGCAGUAGGGAAUCUUCGGCAAUGGACGAAAGUCUGACCGAGCAACGCCGCGUGAGUGAAGAAGGUUUUCGGAUCGUAAAGCCCUGUUGUAAGAGAAGAACGGGUGUGAGAGUGGAAAGUUCACACUGUGACGGUAUCUUACCAGAAAGGGACGGCUAACUACGUG
rnacentral:rRNA from 1 species